rnacentral:lncRNA from 1 species
AGCCUGCCUGCAAGCGCCACUUUAUCCAGGACACCGGUCUCUAUGAGUGCUCACCCAACCUCGGGCCCUGGAUCUGGCAGGUCAACCAGAGCUGGCGCAAAGAGCGCAUUCUGAACGUGCCCCUGUGCAAAGAGGACUGUGAGCGCUGGUGGGAGGACUGUCGCACCUCCUACACCUGCAAAAGCAACUGGCACAAAGGCUGGAAUUGGACCUCAGGUGAGGGACGGAGGAGAUGAGUUAAGAAGAAACCAGUCCUGGAAAACAGAUGGAAGAAUCCUGCUGAUUUCAACUUCAACCACCUGAUGCUGUGGCCAGACGUCCCUCUUUUUUUCGUGUUUUUAUUUUGUUUUGUUCUUGUUUUUGUUUUUUUUUUGGAGACAGGGUCUCUUUUUUUUUUUUUUUUUUUGAGACAGGCUCUGUCACCCAGGCUGGAGUGCAAUGGCAUGAUCUCGGCUCAUUACAGCCUCUGCCUCCUGGGUUCAAGUGAUCUUCCCGCCUCAGUCUCCCAAGUUGCUGGGACUACAGGCACACACCACCAUGCCUAGCUAACUUUUGUAUUUUUUUGUGGAUAUGGAGUUCUGCUGUGUUGCCCAGGCUUGUCUCAAACUCCUGGGCUCAAAGGAUCCACCUGCCUUAGCCUCCCAAAGUGCUGGGAUUACAGGCAUGAGCCACUGGGCCCGGCCUCUUUUUGUGAUUUUGAUAUGACAGCUGACCAGCUCACAAAGCAUUCCUUCCUGAUCAAUUCCUAUUAACCAUGGGGUGGUUCUGGCCAAUUUAGAGAGGCGGCACACAAAGUGCCUUUGUGUCCUAUGUUUCGCCUUUUGAUGUGUACAGCCUAAGUCUGCAUUUUUUUUUUUUUUU